UUUUUUUUUUUUUUUUUUUAAUUUAAAGAUUAACUGGAAUAACUCACCUGACCAAUAUUAUCAAGAAAAGUCAGAUCCUGGGAACAGUGGAAGCACAGAAGAAGGGAAAGCAUCUGCAGAGACCAAUUUUUACUUGGAGGAGUUAGGGAAAUACACUUAUUCUGUGUGGAAGCCCAGUUGACUUUGGAGCCCCUUGCCUGUGGGGAAACUAGCUUUGCUGGGGUUUCCUGUGGAGGCAGAGGGCUUGCCAAAGGGGAGAUCAGCGAGUACGAGCGAAAUAUUCUUUUGUGAUCACAAAUAUUUUUCUGAUAAUUGUAUAUAUUUUUUUUUUUUGUUUCCAUUGCUUUAGCAUGCUUGUCCUUUUCCAUUCAUAUUAAUUUGACAGUGGUGUCUCACGUCCGUAGGCCAUAGUCAAACCUCCUUACAGUGGGCAUUAUACCCAUAUGUAAUACAAAGAUCAUUCUGGCUGCAGAAGCCCGCAGCCUUCAGCUUCGAUCUUGCAGCUUGCACGAGUGACUUUUCCACUGUGCUUGCAUACAGCCUUGCUGAAAGCAGCAGCUUCUGCUUAGGUCCAGUGAAUUGGUGGUGAAAGGGAUGAGUCUAAAACAUAAGACUAAGAGAAGAGGUUAAGCCAGCAGACAAACCUGGUCACAUAUUACAGGGCGGUGCAUGCCACCGAAGCAGUUGGUCAUGUUCAUGGCUCCGUAGCUGCUAAAUGGUCACUAAGUGCUUUCUAGACCUUCCUGGAGAGCUGGCCCCAGGACCUUGUCUCACACCAUGGUGCCUCUUUCUCUCAGAAAUUUGUGUUUCUGGAAAUAAAAGCCCAGGUAUCCUGCAGCAGAACAUUAAUAUUUUUAGUGGUUAUUGUCUAAAUAAGACAGGUGAACUCUACAGACUUGAGAAAGAAAAUGUUUGGAGGAAUCUUGACCCUUUCAGCCCAAAACCUGCUGUCAGAAACUUUCUAGCCCUGUUCUUGUGUUCCCUGAAACAAGCAAAAUUUGAGGAAAAAACGUUUAUAAUAGCUUUUUGUCACUAUAAAGCCAUAUUUUCUGAAAGUGCAUAAUAAAUACAGAUCUGGGACAUAAUUUCAGCACUUCAGCCUGUAACACUGCUUUUUAUGCAUAGUUUUAGAAGAGAUAGGAAAAAGAUCCCAGAUUUCAAAAUCUGUCUUACUAAAAAAAAAAAAAA
rnacentral:lncRNA from 1 species